rnacentral:rRNA from 1 species
AAUGAACGCUGGCGGCGUGCCUAAUACAUGCAAGUCGAGCGACAGGACGAGAAGCUCGCUUCUCUGAUGUUAGCGGCGGACGGGCGAGUAACACGUGGAUCACCUACUUCUAAGACUUGGAUAACUUCGGGAAACAGGAGAUAAUACUGGAUCAUAUUUUGAACCGCAUGGUUCAAAAGUUAAUGACGGCUUUGCCGUCACUUAUAGAUGGAUUCGCGCUGCAUUAGCUAGUUGGUAAGGUAACGGCUCACCAAGGCAACGAUGCAUAGCCGACCUGAGAGGGUGAUCGGCCACACUGGAACUGAGACACGGUCCAGACUCCUACGGGAGGCAGCAGUAGGGAAUCUUCCGCAAUGGGCGAAAGCCUGACGGAGCAACGCCGCGUGGGUGAUGAAGGUCUUCGGAUCGUAAAACUCUUUUGUUGGGGAAGAAAAGAUGUGGAAUAAACUGUGGACGUCUUGACGGUACCUAAACAAAAAGCAACGGCUAACUUCGUG